CGAAAGCCUGACGGAGCAAUACCGCGUGAGGGAGGAAGGCUCUUGGGUUGUAAACCUCUUUUCUCAGGGAAGAAGUUCUGACGGUACCUGAGGAAUCAGCAUCGGCUAACUCCGCGCCAGCAGCCGCGGUAAUACGGAGGAUGCAAGCGUUAUCCGGAAUGAUUGGGCGUAAAGCGUCCGCAGGUGGCAGUGAAGGCCUGCUGUCAAAGAGUCUGGCUCAACCAGAUAAAGGCAGUGGAAACUACACAGCUAGAGUACGUUCGGGGCAGAGGGAAUUCCUGGUGUAGCGGUGAAAUGCGUAGAGAUCAGGAAGAACACCGGUGGCGAAGGCGCUCUGCUAGGCCGUAACUGACACUGAGGGACGAAAGCUAGGGGAGCGAAUGGUAUUAGAUACCCCAGUAGUCCUAGCCGUAAACGAUGGAUACUAGGUGUUGCUUGUAUCGACCCGAGCAGUACCGUAGCUAACGCGUUAAGUAUCCCGCCUGGGGAGUACGCAGGCAACUGUGAAACUCAAAGGAAUUGACGGGGGCCCGCACAAGCGGUGGAGUAUGUGGUUUAAUUCGAUGCAACGCGAAGAACCUUACCAGGGCUUGACAUGUCGCGAACCCUUGUGAAAGCAGGGGGUGCCUUCGGGGGCGCGAACACAGGUGGUGCAUGGCUGUCGUCAGCUCGUGUCGUGAGAUGUUGGGUUAAGUCCCGCAACGAGCGCAACCCUCGUUUUUAGUUGCCAUCAUUAAGUUGGGCACUCUAGAGAGACUGCCGGUGACAAACCGGAGGAAGGUGGGGAUGACGUCAAGUCAGCAUGCCCCUUACGUCCUGGGCUACACACGUACUACAAUGCGGCGAACAGAGGGCAGCAAGCUAGCGAUAGCAAGCUAAUUCCGGAAAUCGGCGCUCAGUUCAGAUCGCAGGCUGCAACUCGCCUGCGUGAAGUUGGAAUCGCUAGUAAUUGCAGGUCAGCAUACUGCAGUGAAUUCGUUCCCGGGCCUUGUACACACCGCCCGUCACACCAUGGAAGCUGGUAGUGCCCGAAGUCAUUACCCCAACUGUUCGCAGAGGGGGAUGCCUAAGGCAGGA
rnacentral:rRNA from 1 species